AAAUAAAAGACGAAGAGAAGUGUACAAUGACAGUGCAAAAUUGGAUAUUGACAUACAGACGCCGAAGAGAAAGUCUCUACGUUUUGUCCAGUUGGAAGCUGCUGGUGUCAUCGGUUCAGAUUCAAUUUCUCUCUUUCCUAAUUGUGAAAUUGAAGACAAUCAAGUAGGUAGCUGUUUUGCGACUUAUACCCAUCAGCUUCGUGUUCAUUCAGAGCUAAUGCCAUCAAUAUUUACCGUAAAUGA